rnacentral:rRNA from 1 species
GAUGAACGCUGGCGGCGUGCUUAACACAUGCAAGUCGAGCGAAGCGUUUUAAAGGAAGUUUUCGGAUGGAAUUUAAAAUGACUUAGCGGCGGACGGGUGAGUAACGCGUGGGUAACCUGCCUCAUACAGGGGGAUAACAGUUAGAAAUGACUGCUAAUACCGCAUAAGCGCACAGUGCUGCAUAGCACAGUGUGAAAAACUCCGGUGGUAUGAGAUGGACCCGGGGCUGAUUAGGUAGUUGGGGAGGUAACGGCCCACCAAGCCGACGAUCAGUAGCCGACCUGAGAGGGUGACCGCCCACAUUGGGACUGAGACACGGCCCAAACUCCUACGGGAGGCAGCAGUGGGGAAUAUUGGACAAUGGGGGAAACCCUGAUCCAGCGACGCCGCGUGAGUGAAGAAGUAUUUCGGUAUGUAAAGCUCUAUCAGCAGGGAAGAAAAUGACGGUACCUGACUAAGAAGCCCCGGCUAACUACGUGCCAGCAGCCGCCGUAA